rnacentral:rRNA from 1 species
CAGUAGCCACGGUAAUACGGAGGGUGCAAGCGUUAAUCGGAAUUACUGGCGUAAAGCGCACGCAGGCGGUCUGACAAGUCAGAUGUGAAAUCCCCGGGCUUAACCUGGGAACUGCAUUUGAAACUGUCAGGCUGGAGUCUUGUAGAGGGGGGUGGAAUCCCAGGUGUAGCGGUGAAAUGCGUAGAGAUCUGGAGGAAUACCGGUGGCGAAGGCGGCCCCCUGGACAAAGACUGACGCUCAGGUGCGAAAGCGUGGGGAGCAAACAGGAUUAGAUACCCCUGUAGUCCCUGUCUCUUAUACA